AAAUUGAAGAGUUUGAUCAUGGCUCAGAUUGAACGCUGGCGGCAGGCCUAACACAUGCAAGUCGAACGGUAACAGGAAGCAGCUUGCUGCUUCGAGUGGCGGACGGGUGAGUAAUGUCUGGGAAACUGCCUGAUGGAGGGGGAUAACUACUGGAAACGGUGGCUAAUACCGCAUAACGUCGCAAGACCAAAGAGGGGGACCUUCGGGCCUCUUGCCAUCAGAUGUGCCCAGAUGGGAUUAGCUUGUUGGUGAGGUAACGGCUCACCAAGGCGACGAUCCUAGCUGGUCUGAGAGGAUGACCAGCCACACUGGAACUGAGACACGGUCCAGACUCCUACGGGAGGCAGCAGUGGGGAAUAUUGCACAAUGGGCGCAAGCCUGAUGCAGCCAUGCCGCGUGUAUGAAGAAGGCCUUCGGGUUGUAAAGUACUUUCAGCGGGGAGGAAGGUGUUGUGGUUAAUAACCGCAGCAAUUGACGUUACCCGCAGAAGAAGCACCGGCUAACUCCGUGCCAGCAGCCGCGGUAAUACGGAGGGUGCAAGCGUUAAUCGGAAUUACUGGGCGUAAAGCGCACGCAGGCGGUCUGUCAAGUCGGAUGUGAAAUCCCCGGGCGAGUACGGCCGCAAGGUUAAAACUCAAAUGAAUUGACGGGGGCCCGCACAAGCGGUGGAGCAUGUGGUUUAAUUCGAUGCAACGCGAAGAACCUUACCUGGUCUUGACAUCCACAGAACUUUCCAGAGAUGGAUUGGUGCCUUCGGGAACUGUGAGACAGGUGCUGCAUGGCUGUCGUCAGCUCGUGUUGUGAAAUGUUGGGUUAAGUCCCGCAACGAGCGCAACCCUUAUCCUUUGUUGCCAGCGGUUAGGCCGGGAACUCAAAGGAGACUGCCAGUGAUAAACUGGAGGAAGGUGGGGAUGACGUCAAGUCAUCAUGGCCCUUACGACCUGCUACAAUGGCGCAUACAAAGAGAAGCGACCUCGCGAGAGCAAGCGGACCUCAUAAAGUGCGUCGUAGUCCGGAUUGGAGUCUGCAACUCGACUCCAUGAAGUCGGAAUCGCUAGUAAUCGUGGAUCAGAAUGCCACGGUGAAUACGUUCCCGGGCCUUGUACACACCGCCCGUCACACCAUGGGAGUGGGAAGUAGGUAGCUUAACCUUCGGGAGGGCGCUUACCACUUUGUGAUUCAUGACUGGGGUGAAGUCGUAACAAGGUAACCGUAGGGGAACCUGCGGUUGGAUCACCUCCUUACCUUAAAGAAGC
rnacentral:rRNA from 1 species